AGUGAGAACAUGGAAGUCUGUCAAUUAUGCUGGUAAAAGUAAGAGUAUUUUGCUGAGUAAUUCUGGAAUGUCUCCAGUGCUGUAAUACAAGACCACAGAAAGACAUGAGGAAUGUAUAUUCCAGCAGUAAAAUGAACUUGCAAAAGAAAUGCACUGAUUCAAAUUGUAACAUGCACUACUAUAUUUGACUACAAACCGAACUUGAACUGAAUUCUCAGGAGCGUGGAAGACAGUGGAAGUGGAGAUGAAGCCAUAUUUCCAAUUGGAUAGAAAGCCACAUAAUUUCAACAAUCUCUCCUCUUCCUUGCAAUUGUAAAUUCUCAAUACUUUUAAUUAUCUUGCAGUUGAGCAUAUGGAACAGUGGAUCUGUUUUCAGUCUAGCACUAAAUACUUAUAGACAUGCUAUUUAUCUGUUAAUCUGACUGGUUUCAUACAUCAUAGUGGAUGCUGGAGAAAUGCCCUGGUCAAACAAGGUUAAAAAAACUAUCCUUCCUUCCUUCCUUCCUUCCUUCCUUCCUUCCUUCCUUCCUUCCUUCCUUCCUCAAACAUCCAAUACAGUGGCCUGUAUUGAUUAAGGGCAAAGUUCCUGCAGAGUUUGUCCAAGGUUUUCAGCACUUGGAUUCUCAAAGUUGUGAUCCAGCGUCAAUAAUGGAGUUUGAAUAUAGCAUAGUUAUGAUAUCCAAAUAUUGUGUUUGAACUUUUCCCCCCAUUGUUGGCUGCAAUUAUAUUUAUGUCAUUCAUCCCUUACAUUUUUGCUGCAUCUAAUGUACUGCUUGAGUCUGGAUCGCAGGAAAUAAUUCAGACUGAAAUCCAUAGAUGCCUCAUCCAAAUGAAUGGGCAAGGAAGCAGUUUUAAAGUAUACUAAAUGUAUUUCCUUGUGAAUGAAUUAAGAUAACACAAGGUCCUAGUGAGGAUUGACAUGUGAGUUCUCUAUAAGAACUCAUUAUUACACAAAAUGUCUUUUCAUGAGCAGUUACUUUCCAAAUAGGGAAUACCAUGAACUUUUUAAUAAAUUGCAAUAGAUUUUUCACAUCAUUCGGUCUUGGAUACCAGUGAUUCACAAUGUACACUGCUAUAGAAGAAACAUAAGACAAAGACCAGAGGGUAAUAGGAGCAACCCAAGAAAUAUAAGUAA